rnacentral:rRNA from 1 species
AUUUGGAGAGGAUGCUUUUGGCGCGGCGCCGUCCGAGUUCCUUGGAACAGGACGCCACAGAGGGUGAGAGCCCCGUACGGACGGACGCCUAGCCUUUACAAAGCUCCUUCGACGAGUCGAGUAGUUUGGGAAUGCUGCUCAAAAUGGGAGGUAAAUUUCUUCUAAAGCUAAAUACCGGCCAGAGACCGAUAGCGCACAAGUAGAGUGAUCGAAAGAUGAAAAGCACUUUGAAAAGAGGGUUAAAAAGUACGUGAAAUUGUUGAAAGGGAAGCGCCUGUGACCAGACUUGCGCCCCGCGGACCACCCGGCGUUCUCGCCGGUGCACUCCGCGGGGCGCAGGCCAGCAUCGGUUCUCCUAGGGGGAUAAAGGCCGCGGGAACGUAGCUCCUUCGGGAGCGUUAUAGCCCGCGGCGGCAUGCCCCUGGGGGGACCGAGGACCGCGCUUCGGCAAGGAUGCUGGCGUAAUGGUCACCAGCGACCCGUCUUGAAACACGGACCAAGGAGUCAAGCAUUGGGGCGAGUGUAUGGGUGCCAAACCCGCACGCGAAAUGAAAGUAAACGCAGGUGAGAGCUUCGGCGCAUCAUCGACCGAUCCUGAUGUCUUCGGAUGGAUUUGAGUAAGAGCCUUACCGCUUGGACCCGAAAGAUGGUGAACUAUGCCUGAAUAGGGUGAAGCCAGAGGAAACUCUGGUGGAGG